UACGUAGGUGGCAAGCGUUGUUCGGAAUUAUUGGGCGUAAAGGGCGCGUAGGCGGUUUGUUAAGUCGGUCGUGAAAGCCCGGGGCUCAACCCCGGAGGGUCGACCGAUACUGGCAGGCUAGAGUACAGAAGAGGUAGCUGGAAUUCCCGGUGUAGCGGUGGAAUGCGCAGAUAUCAGGAGGAACACCGGUGGCGAAGGCGGUUCUCUGGGCCUUACCUGACGCUGAGGAGCGAAAGCGUGGGGAGCGAACAGG
rnacentral:rRNA from 1 species